AACAAAACAAAAAACAAAAAAAGAAGUUUAUUAUGUAAAAGAUAAAUCUAAUAAAUGAUCAAUUUAAGAGUCAUGAUUCAUAAAUAGCUUCAUUGUUAAACAAAACCAAACAAAUUAACAUGCAUUGCAUUAUUAAAAGUGCUAUAGAAUUUUUAAGGAGUAAAUGAUUAUAAUGGUCCCCCACUUCCCUCCUUUGAAUAUUCAAAGCAUAUUUAAAUACCUUGCAGAAAGUAAGUAUUUAAGUAAUUUUGGCUCCCUGUAGGGUUUUUUUGGUUUGUUUGUUUGGUUGGUUGGUUUUUGGUUUUUGGUAAAUUGGUAAUACUGAACUUGUAAUGCAAUGUCUGGUGCAGUAUAAACAAAUAAGUGAAAUGACCUUCAGGACACAGUACAAAUGCUCAUGACAUGCAUGGGAAGUCAUUCUGUUAUGGUAAUUUGGAGAUCUAGACAGGAUCUUAAAAGUCAUCCAAUCUCUAUAGCUAAGGAAAUGUGUACUGUAUACUGCUAAUCUGAAGAACUGAAAACAUGAUAUUAGGCUGUAAUUACAACCAAAUGUUUAACUGAACAAAUCUAGCCUCCAAGGUUUCUUUAAGCAUCUUUCACUUCCCUUUGGUCUCUAACCUCUUCCCCUCACUGUCCAGGUUGCUUUCUUUGCCUGCUUGGCUGAGAUUAGCAUCCAUCCUCUGCCCACUUUCCCAGAUGGAAAAGUGGCAUCAUCGGGAGCUUGGCACUCGGCAGGAUAGGACACAGCUGGAGUACCCCACAAAGUACUCCACGUAAGGGAACAGAGAAAUAUGGAAGAGGAUGGAGCAAAUUGAAGAGAGUAAAUGGGCAAGAGUUGAAGAAAGGUGGGGAGAUGCAGGAAAUAGACAAAGGUGCCUAUGUACUUAGGAGCUGCCUGAAGCAGACUAGGAGAGGUGACAACCACAGAAAAGUACUAAGUACAGUAUUCCCUUGACAAAGACUUCAGAAAAGACUGAGACUAAAUCCUGCUUACAUGGCUUCUCUCUGAAAGAACUUCAGAAUUGUGCUCCUGUUCUGGGCAGAGAUGGGGUGGAGCCUAGACAAUGACUAAUAAAGGAUGACUAGACUAAUGGGAGACACACAAAGAGAGGGAUCUCAAUGUUUCACUGAACUGGAAGAGGUAGUGUGUCAAGUACAAGUGUGCAACAAGCAAAGGCAGAGUAGAGAGUCCCUUGGCCUCUAAGGUUAAAAAACAACAAAACAACAACAACAUGUUAAAUAUACUUUUGUAGUGAAGGAGUCAUUAUUGUACAAGGUGGCAUUUCUUAGGCUAGAGGAUAUAUUCAGACAAGCUGAAGCACAUGAGGACAAUGACAGGACAGGGUGUAAAAUAUCAGAACAGUCCAGCUUCUUCCCACACAGCCCAGGAGUCUGCAAGUGAGAGUCUUCUCUAGGCAAAAAGGCAGAGCAUAAAGCUGCCAGGACACUCCCAUUGGCUGGGCUCUAAGAAACAUCAAUAACUCCCUUGCUUUAAGCCCUUCACUACCUUCUACCUUCCUCUCAGGCACUUUGUAUGCUCCUGUUGUCUCAAGCUUGACAAGGAAGAACAUGAUAAGAAUUAAACCUACCUGGAGGUGUUAAGGUUGCUAUGUGCUGUCUUACAAAGAUGUUUCUACCUGGCGAUUAUUUACUUGGUCCGCAUCCAAGGUUUGUUUCCCGGACAAAUGAACUUUGCUGUACUGUCAACACAGACAGUGUGGUCGAACAUUCAACACGAUCCCACGUAUCCUGUGAGCGCCAUUCCCACAGUGGAGUGGAGUUAGGCUGUGUGCUGGCCCGCUGUUUUCCAAUCUGUCAUCUGGUUGGAUCUGUAUCUUGGAAGAUACUGCCUUCCUCCUCUAGAAAGACGGCUCUCAUCCAACAUCUUCAAAAGAAUUCACACUCAUCAUGUGAUAAAAAUUCUUGAGAUUUUGUAACUGAUGGUCAUGGUUGGCCUCUUGAAUUCUAAACAAAUAAAAUCUGCAAAGU
rnacentral:lncRNA from 1 species